rfam:Ipomoea nil DNA, scaffold: scaffold2647, cultivar: Tokyo-kokei standard.
GACUUCAUGGCCUAAUGGAUAAGGCGUUGGUUUACGAAACUAGAGAUUCUGGGUUCAAUCCCCAGUUAAGUUG